UCCACAUAUGAAUAUUUCCACUUCCUGUUUUGGCAACAAAGAAAGCCAUCUCCACAAUAACCAAAAACCUUGACGUGAUAAAUUUGUACUGUGUGUAUAAAUGUUCAAAGUGUAAUUAUAUCAGCUAUCCUAGGGUCAAAGUAACAUUUUUACUAUCAACUGAACAAAGAUUAAACCAUUUUAUGGUUUGGUGAAAGUUAAAAAUAAGCAAAAACUCAAUGAAAUUAACCCACACGUGACCAAAAUUAAAAUAUAUUCAAACUGAUGUGGAUUAUGGAACAUAAUUUAGCUUUGCAGUGCACUGAUGUGUAAUGACAAUCUAAAAAUAAAUAUCUCUAUUCUGCAGAUGUUAUCUAUGACUCUGCAAAGUGAUUGACUUGGGCUGGUGGGCCAGUGGGUCACUUUAGAGUGUAACAGAAAUAGCUGCUGAGCCACGAGUCUUGAAUAGGCACCAAGGGGGUGAAAGGGUCGGCUGUGUCCGGGACAGAUGAGACAGAGAGAAGGAGCCACAUAGAGAGGCAGAAACUUUAUUUAAUGGACUCAAACCAAAAGGAAUUUACAGACAUUACAAACAAAACUGCAUUUAUAUUGGCUAAAGAACCUGGAGGUGUUCCUCGUCUAUGAAAAAAGGAGAUCGAUUGCAGACUUCAGAGACAACUCUUUCAUCCAGACCAAAGAGAUCCUGUCAGUCGUGUCAGUCAAAGCCAUAUCUGCUCUCUAUAUGUCAAAAGUGACCAAUCAGGGUGCCAAUAACAAAACGGAGCAGGUUCAGCCACGUGAAUCUGGGCAAAAAGUAAAACCAACAAAGAUUAAAGAAGACUUCCUCCAAAAGAUGGACAACCCCCCACCGUUUCAACCAGACGAACAUGUGGCAGAACUAGAACAAUCUCAACAAUUAAAGCCAGCUCAGCUUUCCAAACAAAAGCUGCACCAACAACGUCAGAAAAGUGAGCUGAAGAGGCUCCUGAAACACACCCACCCAGAGCUGAGGAUGCUGGAUGAUGUGGUGGACGAGGAGUUUGCUGAGGUCCUGAGCUCAGAAACGGCGACAGUUGGUGAAACUGGAUACGAGGGAGAGGUCCUUUCAAGAUGCUUGAAAUUUGAGAACUGUGGCUCCAGCGCUGAUGUGCCUCCUUACACAAAGAACCAUAUGGUGCAUAAAGGAGAGGAAGGAUGUGAUUCUAGUGAAAACAUCCCUGAUGAUCAUAAAGAAAACACAAACAGCAAUGAUUUUCAUGAUUUAAGACCAGAUUUUAAUGAUCAGGUUGAAGAAGAGAUGACAAGAGUGGACGUUCAGGCCACCAGAAGAAUGUUUGAGAGUCAGUCCAAGUCAAAUCCUGAGAAGGUUCAAGGGAAUGUAUCUAUAAUUUUGGAUAAAGAAAAGAUUAAAAAAUCAAACAAACAUUCUGUCAAAGAAAAUGUAGUAGAUGAAAGUAAACCCAGAGAUUUGGUGGAUGAGCCUCAAGGGCUGUGUGGUCCUGUUAGUCAAACCCUAACCCAACACCAACACUCUGGUGGGGACGACUUUGAAGACAACACUGUGCCUUAUACUGACUUGGAAAGUGGAAACAUAAAAACAAGUGCUACCCUUCUCCAAAACAACCCUUUCAUCUCAACAAACAUAGAAAAGGAGAUUUCCCACGAGCGCACAUCCAUGAUGCCAAAUCAAAAUAUCACAGCACGUGAGGACUGCCUGACAGCCAACGUAAAGAACAGAACUCACCUUUUUGAAUCGAUGCCAUUUGACAAGAUUAGGCAUCAGAACUGGGAUGACAUUGAGACGAUGAUGGAAAACAUCAAGGAAACUUUGAAUUUCCUGUUUCAAGUUAAAGCCAUCCAAUCUUCUGGGACAAUAAUCGAGGUAAAUGAGACAAUGAGAGCCAAAAAGGCUAAAUUCAUCUUAUCAGAGGGUGUACCUGAGAUCAAUUAUGAUGAAGUUGCUGAAGGUGGUGCACAAAACUUUAUAGUCCAGCUGCUACCACGGGUAAACCUAAAACCUCAGAUCACCUACCUAAAGGAGGAUAAAGAAGGGUCUAUGAAGGCCGCGGUGGUGGAUGUACUGGUCCACCAGCAUCAGUUCAACCCAAACAAAGACACAGAGUUCAAAACCGCCAACGUGGUCCAGCUUGUUGAAGAUAUUCUCAAUCAGGACAACUCUCUGAGGAAAGGAGUGAUUAUCCAAGAAGACGCGGCAGUCCUCGUUUAUUCCCUCUACAAGUACUUUGAUGAAGAAGACGUGAAGAGUUAUAGCCCUCCAAAACCUGCAGACUAUAAAGAAUCUGAGACAGUAACAGGCUGCAUGAGUAAAACAGAUGAAACAUCAACCAAAAGUGGCCCUCAAGAAACAUCUGAAGAGCAAACCUGCUGGGAGUCAACCUGGCCUCGCCUAAAGGUUAAUGUAAAGCUCUUCAAGAGCUGUAUCGAAAAGGGGGACUUGGAGUAUUUAAAAUCUCUUCAGGGUGAUGAACCAACAGCUGAAACGGAGGAACCAUCUCAAAACAAAAUAGAUGUUGAAUGGGAUGAAGAACCUAACCAGGAACAAAGAGGAGAUCUGUCUGGGGACGGUAUCUCAGAGUACGCCCCAGUAGAUGUGAAGAGACUAAAAAGCAUUUUCUCUGAAGAUAAAAAUCAAAUCCAGGGUACGUGUUUCCAGUCUGCUAUUACUUCUAAUGCAUCUGGAAAAAGACAGUCCUCUAAUGAAUGUAAUGUCCGAUCUUUACACCACCAGCAUGCUAAGAAUACCUUUAGAGAGAAUGAAGAUGUACCACAGGAUGAUGGAAGGGUUUACCAAGCAGAGUUAGCAGAUGUUGUGAAUGAUGUAGAUGAGAACUGUGAUCUACAAACUGCUAUCCAAGAUCUUCAGCAAGCCACAAAAGAGGCUAAAUCAUUUUAUCAGUCAUUUGAAGAGUCACAAAAAAUCUGUACAGAAGAAAAAUCAGAUGGUGUGAAAUUAUCAAGAACAGAAAUGGAAUUAUCUCAGGAAAAUAUUGAUGCAGAAGUUAAAUCAGGCAUGGAGCUGAGUUGGAAUAAACCCUUAUUAACUUCAGAUAUUACCUCAGAACAUGAAUCAGAAUGGAAACACAAAAACUCAGAUGACAAUCCAGAGAAACUUCAAACUGCUGAGACUUGUAGAACAGCAUUAGAUGAGAAACAGCCCAAUCCGACAUCACAUAGUUCACACAAAAUGCCCCAACCAGAAGAGGAGGAAGUUGUUUUUGAAGGUAAAAUUCAAGCAGCUUUGGAAUCCUUGGAAAAGUCCAACAUUAAUGUUACAAGAGGAGAUUUCAGAGCUGCAAUGAUAUACAGAAACGCUUCCAAUUCUCAUCAAAGAACAUCACAAACAAAUAAAAACCAAAAUACUACGGAGCUUCGCCCAGCUCAAGUCCAACCAGAGCAAGAAGUGACUGAAACAGUACAUGGACCUAAUACCGUUGUUUCAAAGCAAACUAAAACACCCAUUGGUCCUAAACCGCCGCUCCCUCCUAAACCUGAACAUCUAAAGAGUAAACAAGGAGAUACUCAUCCAGCUACAAAAAUAAAUCCAGAGACAACUGAGAUUUUUACGGUGAGAACCAAAGAAACGGCUCCUCAUGUUCCGCAAUCAUGCAUAAUGCAAAAUAAGCAGCCUCUGAUUAAAUCUACCAAUGAGUCAAUGACUGGUCAUGAAAGUUUGGAUAAUGAUAAGCAGACGUUGCAACAAAGUGAACCAAGGCAUCAGGUUCAAGUCAGCUUAGAAAGUAUUGCUGUCAAUGGGCAACAGACAAAGGCUGGGGAAGAUCCAGAAAGGGGCAACAUGAACGAAACCGAAGAAAACCACAUAGAUUUUCAUGGAGCGUGUCAGAAAUUUGAAGGUAAAAAGGCAAUUUCAGUUAAGACUGCCCCCGUAAAACCAAAGAGACAAAAAUGUGCCAAAUUAAAUGUCAAGAACCCAAAGUACCAACCAGGAGGUAACACAGGAGAUCAAUCUGUUCUGACUAACCCUUCAACCCGUGGAAUAACCGCUGAGAGAGAAGACAAGUCUGAAAAAGACACAAAGCAAGUCAGCAAAGUGGAGAUGAGGGAAAAGAAAGGACGAACCGAAACAGAGGACGAGCGGCGACAGCGACUGUCAAUACAUAUGGACGAAAUUGUGAGAGGGAACGUCGUGAAAGCCACGGAGAUUUUUGACAACUUGAGAAAGCAAGAACAACUGCAGAUAAUUCUCAGUCGUGUUGAGGAAAUUGAACAGGACACAAGCAAAGUAGAUGUACCGUCUCUCAGGAGAGUGUUUGAGAGUGUUCCCGAAUGGGUUGUUGGUCCAAACAAAAAGAAACAAAAAAAUAUCCGAUCAAGAUGCAAAGAGAAGCCGGUUCCAUCACCACCCGAUAAAACGGAAAGCAAGUCCUCCAUGGAACACAUUUAUGGAGAUCUUGAGCGUGCGAGUGAGGAGAUCAUAAAUCUAAAAGAACAGACGUUAGCUAGGCUCAAGGACAUAGAAGACACCAUCAGGAAGGCCCUUUAUUCUGUGUCUGCACUGAAAUCUGACUCAGAUAUUGCAGGUUUAUCACGUUUAUUGAAAGAGUCAAUGGGGACAUUUAAAGGACCAUCGUCUUCAGGCAACAGCAGAGAAAUGAAUACCCAGGAAGCACAGGAAAGUGUCAUCCCACCACAAAACACAAGUGCUAGUGCUAUAAAACAAAAAAUUCCUCCAUCUAACCCCCCAACCCUAAGCCUAACUCUUCAGUCAGCAAUUCGAAAAAUGGACGAAAACUCAAUGGAAGCCCCCACCUGUCUGCCGUGUCUGCAGAGCCCAAAGGCUGAAGAGCGGUUUCGGACGACAAAGACAUUUAAGUGCAACAGCUCUGACAGGAGUGAAAAAGGAAGGCAAAAACAAGGUCACAGUCAACAAGACGCUAACCAAGAGAUGAGUGUGCUGGAAGUACAAACGGACCACGAAGGGAAAAGCAUCAUGGGGACAAAAACUGUCUCAGAAAACUACGAGAGGACUGACAACUCUGGAAACAAGGUGUACACGUCCAAAACGUCCACGGUCCUUGGUCAGGCUCUUCCAUCGAGGCACUCUACACAUCCACAGAUUCAUCUGUCAGAAAGUCAGGGGUUUGAUGUCUAAAUAGUUACACGUUUGUUGUGUUCUUGAUGCUCUUAAUUUGAAAAUUAUUUAAUUUGUUUAAAUGUUAUUUUGGUUAGAGACUUAGUUUGGUUGUUUCUAAGCUUUGAAAAAUCUUAUCAAUUUUGUCUGUUCAUUUAAAAUUUGACUUGUGUUUGAAAGCUUUUGUACAUUUUUGCCAAAACGUUUGUGAGUUUUAACCGAGUCUCGUUUUUUCCCGUCAGUUCCAACCAGCUUGUCACGAGAUGUGCUCAGCCUGUCUGAAGCCAGUUUAUCAGAUGGAAAAAAUCACAGCAGACAAAUACGUGUUUCACAAAUGUUGCUUCUGCUGUAAAAAGUGCAGGAAAACCUUAAGGUGGGAGCUUCAAAUGUUCUUGAGAAAAAUCAUCUCAAAUACCAAUCAAUUAUUUUUCAUGUUUGUGUUACAACUGUAAGAUAAUCAACAAAUUGAAUACUUUUCAGUUAGAAUGCUGUCUUCAAUUUUAAAACUGGCAAUAAAAAUAUGAGUAUUUCCUAUAGUCUUGCAUAAAUCGGUCCAAUUUUUGAACACAUAAAAUCUUGUUUUUUAUGUGGAGAACAUAACGUGGGUCUAUAUUUACACCUUGAGCUUCUAGAUAAUGACCCUGACUUAAUAGAUUUUUAAAGAGUUCAUUCAAACUUGGAUAAUGUGUAAUGAAUAACUAUUCGUGCUGUUUUAUUUGCAAAGGUUGCUUUUCAACGGUACUUUACUUAAUAGAAAGUGCACGUUUCCUUGUUAAUUUUUACCCAUAAAAGACAACAAGUCUACUAAGACUUUCUUUGAAACCUAGAAUUGUUCAUCGUUUUAGAUGUUUUAUUUAUCUUUAUUUUACUGCUCUUUUUAUCAGUCUAUGAAAUUAAAAAAUGUUUUAUGUUUUCUCCUAACUGAUGGAAAUAGUAUUGCUAAUUAUCACAUCUAGCAUUUCUGUGACCAAAGUAGUCUCAAAACCAAGAGUAACUAAAGAUGCAUUAUGUAAGAAUGAAGAAAGAGUGACAUCCUGUGGUCAAAUCUGGUUACUGCAACCUGCUAUUCAAACAAACUAGUCACUUUCUCACUACUCUUUUGUGAGUUUCAUGGUUGUAGCAAGCUACAGCUCUGUGCCACAAGAUUCUAGACAAGCAAAGAUGAGGCACACACAGUAAGUAGAAGAAUACAUUUCACUGUAAUAUGAGGUUGUUGGUAGAUAUUUUUAGAGCUGACUAUUUGUUUCUAAUUUACCGUUAGCAUUGUUAGCUCUACAUUAGCCUGUAGCCUUCUUCCCCUGAUAUUAGAGUAAAACUAAAAGUUGUUCUGCUCUCUUAGGGUUACAAAAAAUAUAUUUGAGGUUGCUCCUUUUUAUUGGCUUAGGAACCUCACAAAACACUGCUGCGUUUUGACGGCUAGUGCCAAAUCACAAAUGCUGGCGCAGCGGAUUACAGAUUGAAAACAAAGACUUUGGGUGUUUCUCAAUGCCAAUGAACGUUGCCUUGAUGUCUUGGCCCUGCCCCGGUUGCCUAGGAGAUACAUCAUCGGGAGUUGCCAAGACGUGUUCCAAGCUGUUCCAAUGUUCAUGUACCGAGGCAUGUGUUCUCCGUUUGUUAGCCGUUUAGCUAGCUGAGCAAGGAUACACGGGAGGUGUCUUGUAGCCUAGCCUUGGUCAAAGACCCACAAUACACCGCGGUAUUUUCAAAAAGACGGCAGAUCAGAAGCCAGCAGCUACUUUGGGGACAAUUUUCAGGUUUAAAACUAAGUCAGUUAAUUUAAAAUUGGUUUUUUUUUAGAUCCAAAGAAGUUAUCUAUUGUUGGUUAGUUGCUUAGUAGUUGCAGCUUCGGUGGCUAGCGGGUAGUAACUCCCUUUUAUUUUUUAUUUAAUAAACAUAUACACAAUUUAAAAAGUAAAAGGCUCGUUAUAUAUUUAUAUUGAAACUAAUACGUAUAAAAUAUAGCAUUAUCUCCCGUGUCACGUGACGUUGCAUAACCGCCAUGGAAGCCACGGUCACAGGAUGCAAGUCUGUUCUAUGACCAUUUUCUUUGACCAAGGAAGGACAGUGUCCUCGUAAGUAAGGCACCUGGCCUUGCAAGACAUCGCCUCGCAAGGCUAGGCGCCUUGACAUUGAGAAACACCCUUUGUCUCUCUUUGGCCUUUUUAAAAGGAGAACCACCACCCAGCUGGCUGAGAGGGAAAUCUUUUUCAAUGUACCCUUUUCUCUCAACACAACAUUAGACUAUUUUGUGAUCAUUUCACAGUAAAAUUCUUACAUAUUCUACCUUUAAAUGACUAAAAUCUAUACAAAUAACUGAUGGAAAAUAUGUUAAAAGUGUACAUAAAAGUCAUGAAAUUUAGAGUUUAGCUUGACUCCUUCAUGAGUAUCUUUCCCUGAUUCUCUGAGAAAUCAGAUGUAUCCCUUUUGAACAACUUUAGCUGUUUCUAACUUGUGCUCAUUUGUAGCAUGCACAGUUUCACACCUUUAAACGGGGAAUUCUACUGCAUAUUUCACUACCAACAACUGUUCAAGAGAAAGGGGAACUAUGACGAGGGCUUCGGACACACUCAGCACAAGAACAAGUGGCUUUACAAGAGUUAAACCAAGAUGGUGGACAAUGAACAUGAGGCAUAAACCUAAAAGUACAUACUGCUGAUGAGAAGGUGACUGUGACGACAGAACAUUAGUGAUGUUGUGUUUGAGACACCAUGAGGUCAUCACUGCCCGAUCUUUACACACCAACUUUUUUUUAUUCAUGCAACAGUUUAUUGUGUUUGAUUGUGUUUACACAUACAUUUGCAACAACCUAAUAUCAGAAUUGAGUGAUGUGGAUCUAAUUUUGAAUAAAAUAAGUGUUUAUUACACAAAAUAACAGGGAUUUUUUGUAGUCAUAAAUAAUGAAUUCCGUCACUUACAUUUGCUUGUUUAUUUUUCUUUAAAGUUGAAAAUGGUAAAAUGCUAAAUUCAUAAGGACUGUGGAUUUGGGUCAGACAUUUUUUUAAUCUUUAGCAUUUUCGGGGGAAAUUUUUCAUCAGCAGCAUUGUGAACGUAUCUGGGAAAAAAUCAGAAACAUAAAUGUAUUUUGAGCAAAUAUGAAGGAAAUAAAAUCAAACUUUUGAGUUUUUA